CUUUUAUUUCAAUGCAAAUACAAAAUUUAUUGGAUCAAUUGACAUGAAUAUUGAACUGAUUAAACUUAAAAGACAAUUGAAAGCACAAUGUCUAUAGGUUAGUAGGAUGAUAACAUCAAUGGUGAAGCCAAACACAGCUCUGAUGAGAUGGCAAGCAUGUAAUCAAACAAAAGCUGAAUUUUAAUGUUUCAUUAUAAGACAUGGUAACAAGUCCUCAGACUUUUUUUUUUUUUUUUUUUUUUGACUCUCUGGUUA